rnacentral:rRNA from 1 species
GGUAACAGAAAGAAGCUUGCUUCUUUGCUGACGAGUGGCGGACGGGUGAGUAAUGUCUGGGAAACUGCCUGAUGGAGGGGGAUAACUACUGGAAACGGUAGCUAAUACCGCAUAACGUCGCAAGACCAAAGAGGGGGACCUUCGGGCCUCUUGCCAUCGGAUGUGCCCAGAUGGGAUUAGCUUGUUGGUGGGGUAACGGCUCACCAAGGCGACGAUCCCUAGCUGGUCUGAGAGGAUGACCAGCCACACUGGAACUGAGACACGGUCCAGACUCCUACGGGAGGCAGCAGUGGGGAAUAUUGCACAAUGGGCGCAAGCCUGAUGCAGCCAUGCCGCGUGUAUGAAGAAGGCCUUCGGGUUGUAAAGUACUUUCAGCGGGGAGGAAGGGAGUAAAGUUAAUACCUUUGCUCAUUGACGUUACCCGCAGAAGAAGCACCGGCUAACUCCGUGCCAGCAGCCGCGGUAAUACGGAGGGUGCAAGCGUUAAUCGGAAUUACUGGGCGUAAAGCGCACGCAGGCGGUUUGUUAAGUCAGAUGUGAAUCCCCGGGCUCAACCUGGGAACUGCAUCUGAUACUGGCAAGCUUGAGUCUCGUAGAGGGGGGUAGAAUUCCAGGUGUAGCGGUGAAAUGCGUAGAGAUCUGGAGGAAUACCGGUGG